rnacentral:lncRNA from 1 species
GUGGCGUCUCCCACAUUGAGAACAUUCAGGCCUAGGAGGUCGAGUACUGCCUGUACUUGCAACUGUAGUGGUUUGAGCUCUAAAACCCUCGAAUCUUCUACUUCUGCUUCGGCCAGAAUAUAUAUGUGGAAAAUGUGAUCCGCUAGAGAGCUCCCUAGGCCUCUUAGAUGUAGACUGAAAUGAUUUACUCAUUUGCCUCUUCUUUGUAUC